rnacentral:RNase_P_RNA from 1 species
GGAGUCGGCCGGACAGUCGCGUCGUUCGCAAGAACGCCGAGGAAAGUCCGGGCUUCGAAGGGCAGGGUGCCAGGUAACGCCUGGGCGGCGCGAGCCGACGGACAGUGCAACAGAGAGCAGACCGCCGAUGGCCCCGCAAGGGGAUCAGGCAAGGGUGAAACGGUGGGGCAAGAGCCCACCGCGAGUCUGGCAACAGACCGGCACGGCAAACCCCACCCGAAGCAAGACCAAAUAGGGGAACGAUGGCGUGGCCCGCGCCGUUCCCGGGUUGGUCGCUCGAGCCCGCCGGCGACGGCGGG